ensembl:lncRNA
AGCUUCUGGGCUGCAAGACGCAGAGAAGCUCCUCCCUAGGAGCGCCAGUGUCUCCAGCAGGGAGGUGAAUUCUUUACCGCUGAGCCACAUGUGGGUGAAGGAGGGACAAAAGUGAAAGGAUGACCGCAGGCCCCAAUCCACCGAGGACGGGCCCAUGGGCAUGAGUGAGCAGCAUGUUGGGAGAGAAGCCCAGCAGGCCAUCUCACUCAGGGAUGUUGGAUGGGACCCACCACUCGCCGGACCCAGCUCUCAAAUGGGAAGAGCAAAAAGGCAGCAGAGGCCAGGCAGCCCCGGGGACCGCAGGAAAAGAGGUGGGAAGAAGAAAACAAGAUGGAUGUUCAGCUUUCCAACCCAGCUCACGGAGCUUUAUUAAGAACAGAUGACAAGACCCUGCUUGGUUCCUGCUGCACCUGAAGGGCCAUAUUCCCUAGGAACCUGGCGUGGAAAGUCCGUAUUUGCCCUCCUACUUCCUUCAAAACCCCUAGGACCAGAGCUGGGACCUACCUGAAACCCCCUUUCAGACACCAUACUCACCCGGCCCUGACCCUCUUCCCAGCCACCCCAGCACUCAGGCUGCUGGGCCCAGGCAGAACCCAGGGAUGACGGGGCUGACAGGAUAUUCCUUGAGCUGGGAAUCCCCUGGCAGCUUCAAGGGAACAACGUGUGACUACAGGAAGAAGUGUCACGUCUGUCAGUCCCUCCACCGCAGACACACACACACACACAUGCUCACUCGGGCUUGCUGGGAAGGAAGUGAUGCAGCAGUGGCAUUCGGCGCAUGUCACCACUUCUGGGCAGAGCGUCAGCUUGCAUAAGUGGCCCUCAAUCACUG